GACGAACGCUGGCGGCGUGCUUAACACAUGCAAGUCGAACGGUGAAGCGCCUUCCUUUUUGGUGGGUGUGGAUGAGUGGCGAACGGGUGAGUAACACGUGAGUAACCUGCCCCCUUCUUCUGGAUAACCGCAUGAAAGUGUGGCUAAUACGGGAUAUUCUGGGUCUGUCGCAUGAUGGGUCUGGGAAAGAUAUUGUUUCGGUGGGGGAUGGGCUCGCGGCCUAUCAGCUUGUUGGUGGGGUGAUGGCCUACCAAGGCGGUGACGGGUAGCCGGCCUGAGUGGGUGGACGGUCACACUGGGACUGAGACACGGCCCAGACUCCUACGGGAGGCAGCAGUGGGGAAUAUUGCACAAUGGGCGCAAGCCUGAUGCAGCGACGCCGCGUGAGGGAUGGAGGCCUUCGGGUUGUGAACCUCUUUCGCCAGUGAAGCAGGCCUGCCUCGUUUGUGGGUGGGUUGACGGUAGCUGGAGAAGAAGCGCCGGCUAACUACGUG
rnacentral:rRNA from 1 species